UUCUCUCUCUCCCCCUCUCCCUCGCCCAUCUCUCUCUCUCUCUCUCUCUCUCUCUCACUCUCUAUAAUCCAACUCCCCAAUUCGGUUUUUCCAGAAAACAAAGACCAAAAUUCUCUGUGAAAUUGUGAAAGAUGAAGGUUAUGGAGGAAGUUGUGGAGGAAAACGAAGUGAAGCCUUUGACUGCCGAGGAAUUGGAGCAGUACGAGUCCGUUUCCGAGUCCUCCGACUCCGACGACGGCCUCGAAGACGAGGAAGAGGACGGCGACGAAGACGAGGAUGACGACGACGACGACGACGCGGAUGACGACGACGAUGACGACGAUGAGGAUGAAGAUGACGACGACGACGUCCAGGAGGUCGUACAGUCCUCCGGUGGCCCUCCGGUUCAGUCAAUAGACGACGACGACGAUGAGGACGAAGAAGACGAGGAAGGCGCUGAAGGAGGCGAUGACGACGACGACGGCGAGGGAGAUGACGACGACGAUGACGACGACGGCGAGGGCGAGGAUGAGGAUGACAUUGGGACUGAAUACCUUGUUAGGCCAGUAGCCCGUGCGGAGGAUGAGGAAGAUGCAAGUGAUUUUGAACCUGAAGAGAAUGGAGAAGAUGAAGAUGUUGAGGAAGAAGAGGAUGACGACGAUGACGCUGGUGGGAAGGUUGAGGCUCCGCCAAAGAGGAAGAGAUCAGACAAGGAUGAUUCAGAUGACGAUGAUGAUGGUGGAGAGGAUGAUGUGAGACCCUCUAAGCGAUAGGGCUGGGUCCCAAGCUUGGUUUGAGGACUGACUGACCAUUAACAACUAGAUGACGACCUGGUGGGGAGGGGUCCCUUGUAUACGUCUGCACCCCAUUGCCGCGCGAGAUGAAGUGCAGGGAGAGGGAGGGCAUUUUGUCAAUUAUUACCGUUCUACCCUUCAGUUUGGGAAAGCCAUUUUGAAUCUCAAUGAGAGAAAUAUGAAAAACUAUUUUUGCCGGCAUUGGUCAGUGGAACCAAAAAAUGGCAGUACGCAGGUGGCAUGUCUAUCCACGACCACAAGCACUUUGAAUUUUGGAAUCAUUCCUCCUUAGAAAACAAGGAAGUGGAAGGAAAACUAACGUAUAAAAUUGUCAAAAGAACAGGAGAUAAAUCAACAUCCUUCAAUGAGUUUGGCUUAAGUAA